GGCCUGAAUGGUAUAUAAGGAGGAGCAUUUGUAACAGUUAACGUUUUUAGUUGUAGCAGCGGUACACUCAGCUACGGGUCAUAGAGCAGACGAGCUCCAGCUAGCUUCGUCGAGGGAUCGUACUACACACACUCUAAGACCGGUAUCAAAGGUUGCAGGUAUAUGUCGUUGAAUUGUACUGUUUUGUACGGGUAACGGUAAUUAACACGGGUAAGAUCAUAUGUUUACAGGUGUCAUACACAACAGCGACGGCAGCAGCAGCGUCAGCAUCAGAUGACAGACUCACACCGGAGAGGAUGGUGGAGCUGAUAUUAUGGAGCUUUGAGUGGACCCGCACUGAUAGAGGCUAGAGACAGUCCAGCAGCAACAGCAAACUUCAAAGGUGUCAUACACAACAGCGACGGCAGCAGCAGCGUCGGUGUCAGAUGACAGACUCGCACCCGAGAGGAUGGCGGAGCUGAUAUUAUGGAGCUACUGGACUCCCGAUCUAGUGUAAGUGGCGCUUCUUCUUGCUAGCGUUAUAAUAAAGCGUUACUAGCACUGCUAACAACUACUAAAACAACAUUUAUCAUUUAACUUUUUAAUUUUACAUGAUUAAAUUUUACAUUGCUCCAUUCUACGUAUUGCUCCAUGUGAUUUGGCUUCGUUGUUUGCUGCUCCUGUUGUAUCAAUGUUUCCAGGGUGAUCGAGUCAUCCCAGAUUGAUUGAGUCAUCC